CCCUGGCCUACGGGCUACACAUGCAGUCGAGCGGUAGCACAGGGGAGCUUGCUCCCUGGGUGACGAGCGGCGGACGGGUGAGUAAUGUCUGGGAAACUGCCUGAUGGAGGGGGAUAACUACUGGAAACGGUAGCUAAUACCGCAUAACGUCGCAAGACCAAAGAGGGGGACCUUCGGGCCUCUUGCCAUCAGAUGUGCCCAGAUGGGAUUAGCUAGUAGGUGGGGUAAUGGCUCACCUAGGCGACGAUCCCUAGCUGGUCUGAGAGGAUGACCAGCCACACUGGAACUGAGACACGGUCCAGACUCCUACGGGAGGCAGCAGUGGGGAAUAUUGCACAAUGGGCGCAAGCCUGAUGCAGCCAUGCCGCGUGUGUGAAGAAGGCCUUCGGGUUGUAAAGCACUUUCAGCGAGGAGGAAGGUGGUGAACUUAAUACGUUCAUCAAUUGACUUUACUCGCAAAAAAAAGCACCGGCUAACUCCGUGCCAGCAGCCGCGGUAAUACGAGAGGCUGCACGCGUUAU
rnacentral:rRNA from 1 species